GUAGGUGAACCUGCGGAAGGAUCAUUACAAAUCCCCAACGUCUCACCCGAGACACCGUUGAAAUAUAGUAUUAGCAGAGAGGAUGGGUUCGGAGGCGCGAAAUCAGCAAUGGUGGACCCCUCCUUGUCCGAUCUGCGACACACUCACACACACUAGAAACUGUUGAUCAUUUGUAUGCUUCUUAACAAAGAAACAACUUAUACCAAUGGAUCUCUAGGCUCUUGCAUCGAUGAAGAACGCAGCAUCUGAC
rnacentral:misc_RNA from 1 species